rnacentral:rRNA from 1 species
UACGAAGGGGGCUAGCGUUGCUCGGAAUCACUGGGCGUAAAGGGUGCGUAGGCGGGUCUUUAAGUCAGGGGUGAAAUCCUGGAGCUCAACUCCAGAACUGCCUUUGAUACUGAAGAUCUUGAGUCCGGGAGAGGUGAGUGGAACUGCGAGUGUAGAGGUGAAAUUCGUAGAUAUUCGCAAGAACACCAGUGGCGAAGGCGACUUACUGGACACAUAUUGACGCUGAGGUGCGAAAGCGUGGGGAGCAAACAGG